ACUGCAUUUGAAACUGGCAAGCUAGAGUCUUGUAGAGGGGGGUAGAAUUCCAGGUGUAGCGGUGAAAUGCGUAGAGAUCUGGAGGAAUACCGGUGGCGAAGGCGGCCCCCUGGACAAAGACUGACGCUCAGGUGCGAAAGCGUGGGGAGCAAACAGGAUUAGAUACCCUGGUAGUCCACGCUGUAAACGAUGUCGACUUGGAGGUUGUGCCCUUGAGGCGUGGCUUCCGGAGCUAACGCGUUAAGUCGACCGCCUGGGGAGUACGGCCGCAAGGUUAAAACUCAAAUGAAUUGACGGGGGCCGCACAAGCGGUGGAGCAUGUGGUUUAAUUCGAUGCAACGCGAAGAACCUUACCUACUCUUGACAUCCACAGAACUUUCCAGAGAUGGAUUGGUGCUUCGGGAACUGUGAGACAGGUGCUGCAUGGCUGUCGUCAGCUCGUGUUGUGA
rnacentral:rRNA from 1 species